rnacentral:rRNA from 1 species
AUUGAACGCUGGCGGCAGGCCUAACACAUGCAAGUCGAACGAGUGGCGGACGGGUGAGUAAUGUCUGGGAAACUGCCUGAUGGAGGGGGAUAACUACUGGAAACGGUAGCUAAUACCGCAUACCAUCAGAUGCGCCCAGAGGGGAUUAGCGAGUUGGUGGGGUAACGGCUCACCAAGGCGACGACCCCUAGCUGGUCUGAGAGGAGGACCAUCCCCACUGGAACUGAGACACGGUCCAGCCUCCUACGGGAGGAAGCAGUGGGUAAUAUUGCACAAUGGGCGCAAGCCUGAUGCAGCCAUGCCGCGUGUAUGAAGAAGGCCUUCGGGUUGUAAAGUACUUUCAGCGGGGAGGCGUUACCCGCAGAAGAAGCACCGGCUAACUCCGUGCCAGCCGCCGCGGUAAUUC